rnacentral:rRNA from 1 species
GACGAACGCUGGCGGCGUGCUUAGCACAUGCAAGUCGAACGAAGUGGCGAACGGGUGAGUAACGCGUAAUCAACCUGCCCUUCAGAGGGGGACAACAGUUGGCAACUACUGCUAAUACCGCAUAUUGACGUGGGGGCUUUCUUUGGAUUCGCUAGUUGGAGGGGUAACGGCCCACCAAGGCGAUUGUCAGUAGGCGGUCUGGGAAGAUGAACGGCCACAUUGGGACUGAGACACGGCCCAGACUCCUACGGGAGGCAGCAGUGGGGAAGCUUCCGCAAUGGACGAAAGUCUGACGGAGCAACGCCGCGUGAGUGAUGACGGCCUUCGGGUUGUAAAGCUCUGUUAAUCGGGACGCGGUACCGGAAUAGAAAGCCACGGCUAACUACGUGCCAGCAGCCGCGGUAAUAC